rnacentral:rRNA from 1 species
UACAGAGGGUGCAAGCGUUAAUCGGAAUUACUGGGCGUAAAGCGUGCGUAGACGGUUAUUUAAGUCAGGUGUGAAAGCCCCGGGCUCAACCUGGGAAUUGCAUUGAGUACUGAAUAGCUAGGGUGCGGAAGAGGGAAGCGGAAUUUCCGGUGUAGCGGUGAAAUGCGUAGAUAUUGCUCGGAAGGCCAGAGCCGAAGGGGCCCUACUGGUGCGCAACUGACACUGAGGCACGGAAAGCGUGGGAGCAAACAGG